rnacentral:rRNA from 1 species
AUGUCUCCAAGCCAAGUGCUCGCCGACAAGCAAAACACCCAUCGUGGAGAGAAUAGUGAGAGAGUGAGCCACCAAAAAGAGAGUGGGUGCCAAAAGCCCAAAUUGAGUGCCUCCACGAUGAGCGACAAGAAAAACUUAGUCCUAUUUGCCACCAAACGUGAGAUGAGAGAAGUGUGUGAGAACCCAUCAAGUGUCCUACACUAUGUCCUAUUGUGCAAGGACGAGGCACCAAAAACUGACACCUCUCACAAUCUACCUUUGGUGUUAUCUUCUCUAUUGCAGGAAUUUCAAGAUGUUUUUCCCGAUGAGCUACCUCUGGGACUACCUCCACUACGAGGCAUUGAGCACCGCAUCGAUCUCAUUCCCUGA